UACGAAGGGGGCUAGCGUUGUUCGGAUUUACUGGGCGUAAAGCGCGUGUAGGCGGACCUGUAAGUUGGGGGUGAAAGCCCGGAGCUCAACUCCGGAAUUGCCUUCAAGACUGCGGGUCUGGACUCAAGGAGAGGCGAGUGGAAUUGCGAGUGUAGAGGUGAAAUUCGUAGAUAUUCGCAGGAACACCAGUGGCGAAGGCGACUCGCUGGACUUG
rnacentral:rRNA from 1 species